GAUGAACGCUGGCGGUAUGCUUAACACAUGCAAGUCGAACGGACUCUUCGGAGUUAGUGGCGGACGGGUGAGUAACGCGUGAGAAUCUGGCUUUGGGUUCGGGACAACCACUGGAAACGGUGGCUAAUACCGGAUGUGCCGAGAGGUAAAAGAGAAAUUGCCUGAAGAUGAGCUCGCGUCUGAUUAGCUAGUUGGUGAGGUAAAGGCUCACCAAGGCAGCGAUCAGUAGCUGGUCUGAGAGGAUGACCAGCCACACUGGGACUGAGACACGGCCCAGACUCCUACGGGAGGCAGCAGUGGAGAAUUUUCCGCAAUGGGCGAAAGGCUGACGGAGCAAUACCGCGUGAGGGAAGAAGGCUCUUGGGUUGUAAACCUCUUUUCUUAGGGAAGAACAAAAUGACGGUACCUAAGGAAUCAGCAUCGGCUAACUCCGUG
rnacentral:rRNA from 1 species